rnacentral:rRNA from 1 species
GACAGAGGGUGCAAACGUUGUUCGGAAUUACUGGGCGUAAAGCGCGUGUAGGCGGCCGGGCAUGUCGGAUGUGAAAUCCCGUGGCUCAACCACGGAAGUGCACCCGAAACUGCCCAGCUGGAGUCUCGGAGAGGAAGGCGGAAUGCUUGGUGUAGAGGUGAAAUUCGUAGAUAUCAAGCGGAACACCGGUGGCGAAGGCGGCCUUCUGGACGAUGACUGACGCUGAGACGCGAAAGCGUGGGGAGCAAACGGG